AGAAGAACAACAAUUUAAAAUAGAAAAUUAUGAUGAUGUGAUCACUGUUGGAUUGAGACAUCAUGCUACAGAUGACAUAUCAGAAAGCUAUGAUGAUGUUGUCAUCAUAAGACGUAUGCAGUCUGAAGAAGUAGAUGAUGAGAGAAAUAUCAAUGAAGAUGCGAGAGACUUGUUAGCAGGCUAUGAUUAUAUGAGUGAGGAGCCAAGAAAACAGGGAGGGGCUAUGUUCAGUUUGUGACCACACCCACCACCUCACAGUCUUUUACAGCUUUUAAUUGUCUCAACAGUGAGUUUAAAUGAUACAUACUAUUAAGUUUUAGUUUCAGUCCACCAUUGUUACAGUUGAAGCAUUAAUAGAUAACAUGGACUUCAAUUUAAAACAUGCAGCAAACAAACUGGAAAUAUAUAUAGAACAAAUAAAUAAAACAGACAGGGUAUUUUAUGUUCUUGUCUUAUUCUCACAUUUUUGAUUAUUAAAAAAACAAAAACA